rnacentral:rRNA from 1 species
GACCCGAAACCCGGUGAUCUAGCCAUGGGCAGGUUGAAGGUUGGGUAACACUAACUGGAGGACCGAACCGACUAAUGUUGAAAAAUUAGCGGAUGACUUGUGGCUGGGGGUGAAAGGCCAAUCAAACCGGGAGAUAGCUGGUUCUCCCCGAAAGCUAUUUAGGUAGCGCCUCGUGAAUUCAUCUCCGGGGGUAGAGCACUGUUUCGGCAAGGGGGUCAUCC